rnacentral:rRNA from 1 species
UACGGAGGGAGCUAGCGUUGUUCGGAAUUACUGGGCGUAAAGCGCGCGUAGGCGGCUUUGUAAGUUAGAGGUGAAAGCCCGGGGCUCAACCCCGGGAAUUGCCUUUAAGACUGCAUCGCUUGAAUCCGGGAGAGGUGAGUGGAAUUCCGAGUGUAGAGGUGAAAUUCGUAGAUAUUCGGAAGAACACCAGUGGCGAAGGCGGCUCACUGGACCGGCAUUGACGCUGAGGUGCGAAAGCGUGGGGAGCAAACAGG